CUAAGCGAUACGGAGGUGCUAUCAAUAGGUGGAAUAGUUGCCGCUGGCCUCGAUGUGGUGAUGAAAUUCAGAGGAUAAGAAAUAGUUAGGGCGUUUUCUCCCGGACUAUUUACGAAAACCAACAGAAAAAUAAACAUGUAGAAAGCAUGGUGGUCUCAUGUUCGGACCGGGGUUCGACCCCCCGCAGCUCCACUA
rnacentral:tmRNA from 1 species